rnacentral:misc_RNA from 1 species
AAUUGGCGCCGUUGUUUGCCGGUGUUGGCCCGUGCCGCAUGCGAAGCUAUUAGUGAACUCACUGUUAACUAGUGCGCUUACGAGCAUUUUAAACCGAUUUUAAAAUAAGGAGGUAAACGCUCUAUCAAUGAAGAUGAAGCAUUGUCAAUAGUCAAGACACAGGAGACAGAAACAAUGACGUUGGCGUUACUUUUUGAGCUAUUAUUAUUUAGCUAUUUAGCUUUCCUAUCGGCAUUACGCGAGAGACGCCUAUCAAGCAACGGAUUGUCAAUUGACAUCAAUUCUAUACGAUAAGAUUAGUUUCU